rnacentral:rRNA from 1 species
AACGGGUGGUAAUGCCGGAUGUUCCACAUGAUCGCAUGUGAUUGUGGGAAAGAUUUCAUCGGCGUGGGAUGGGGUCGCGUCCUAUCAGCUUGUUGGUGAGGUAACGGCUCACCAAGGCUUCGACGGGUAGCCGGCCUGAGAGGGCGACCGGCCACAUUGGGACUGAGAUACGGCCCAG